rnacentral:lncRNA from 1 species
CUUAAAUGCUGCCACAGAAGGGCAGAAAGUUAGUUGGUCAGCAACAGUGUUAGAUUCAGCACUAUGGCCUCGGUCUGUUGGAAUAUUUUCAGUAGCUUUACUGAAAAAUUGGUACAUUGUAUAUAAUGUUUUUAGAAAAGUGAAACCAAGUACUGCCUGACUUUCUCUUUAGUAUCUGUGGGAGUUUAUAAGCAAAUUAACAGAGCUCAGAAAAUGGCACACUAUCCCACUCGAACUAAAGGGAGAAUUUUAGGUAGGUGGAAUGUAAUUAUGAGACUGAAAUUCAGCCAGGAUUUGGGCAGAAGAAAUUGUGGAUUUGUCAAGCAGCUAUGAAAAGUAUUUCAAAGUUGUUACCAAAGCAGAGGCAUAAGAAAUAUUUUGUCACCUACACAAUAUUAGGCUAAGAAUUCUGUUCUUCUCUGCUUUUGAUGUAGUGGAUGUAAAGGGAAAUGGUGAGAACCAGAGAGAGUUUCUUUGCAGAAUGUUCAAAGAGGAAAAUGUCAAAGAUGGGAGACAAUAACAGUAAGCUUCAUGGCUUGAACUCCCACAACAUGAGUCAUAUGGAGCUGGUUAUUUCCUGGUGAAUAGCAAGAAGCAAGCAAAAAUUAUCAUUUGAAUAAAACAACCUCAUAUACGGAUUUAUAUGACUAGGAUAUUACCAGCGUUUCAUGCUAGAAGACACCAUUUGUGAAAGGCCACUUAACACAUCUUGUGUAAAGUCUCUAUAAUUAGUGGAUAGUUGAUUUGUAAAGGGAAGAAUACUCAAUGUUAGAGGUAAGAAUAAAGAAUUUUUGUCUUUUUAAUUAUUGUUAAGGAGGUAAAACAAACCAUUAAAAGUUUUAGAAAUAAUUAUUUUGAAAUACCAUUAGUUUAGAAAUAUUUAAGGGGUUGAAUUACAAGUCAGAUUUAGAAACAACCAAAAUUAAGAACAUAGAUACGAAAACUAAAAGGUCCUAUAUAAGAGCUAGCCCAAUACUAUCUUUCCAUAGUAUCAGUCACUUUCAAACAUUCUUGCACAGAAAUCAAGGAUGUCCAUCAAACAUCAUGCUACAGAGAAAAUUAUCCACUAUGCGUUUUUUGUUUGUUUUUCACAACUUAAAAUUGAAAAAUAAUUAAAAAAAAAAAAAAAAAAAAAUAAAAGAGCUACUCUACCACAGAGAGUACUGGAACUGGCUCGGAGAUCGGGUCUGAUUUCUGAAGGUGAAAGGAGGGCAGUUCUAAACUACUUCUGUGUUCCCAUAGUUGGAUCUGCGUAGAAUCCAGAGAGGCCACAGAUCUUAGCAUACCUUGAAUUGAAGCAAUGUCUGGAAGUCAUUAUUCAAGUGAGAAUAUUCAGACUGGAAUUAUUAGUAUCUGACACUUCUUUACCAGCCCCUCAAUAAUUUUUUUAAAAAGGUUGCAUUCUGGAAUGAAUGUACAUUUUGAU